AGGAGGAAGCAAACGCAAGCGAGUGCACGAGCACAAGACACAACACGUCAAGACAAGGGAGCGGACGAGUGCACAGUCGACAAGGCAAACAAUCGGACGAGCGCACGGUCGACAAGACAAACAAGCGGACGAGCGCACCAUCGACUUGACACCACAACUGUCAUUGGACCAUUCUUCAAGAUGUCUCUCGGUUCACUGGAAUCCACUGAGCAGCAGAUGGUCGAGGUGAUCAUUGGUUCUUUGUCUGGUCCAGUUGAAGAUUUCAACCAGCACAAGUUUGAUUUCUUCAAGAUGAUCAAUGUCAUUAUACAAUUACAAUACCAGAAAUAUCCCACCUGACUCUAGAUCACUUCAAUCUUUAUAUCUCCUCAUGAGUCAGUCAAGUUCAAAACCCAUCAUUAUAAGAAGAAUGAGACAUCACUUUGUUUAAAAGCACUGUGUCCAACAAAAACAGUGACUAAACACAGUUCACCACCUACAAACACAAAGGGGCCGUUUCCCGGACAGGGAUUAGACUAGUCCUAGACUAAAAUAAUUGUAAGAGCUGUCCAAACUGAAAACAACUUGCACUGACAUAUCUUAAAAUACAUCAGUGCCCUUUGUUUAGCCUCAAAAUGCCCACAAGUAAUGUUUUUAAGGCAUGUUUGUUAAAACUUGUUUUAUUUCCUAAUUAAACUAAGGCCUAGUCCUGUCUUAAACUAAUCCCUGUCCGCGAAACCAACCCAGAAUCACUCAGUAUCACCAAGCACAGAUUUCCAAACACACAAAACCGCAUUUUAUGUAGACACUGUCACAACAAAAGCACUUUAUACAAAACUUCAUCAAUAUUUAAUAAAUAUUAUGAGCCCUGUGUCCAUCGGUUAUGUGAUCACUCCUCUUUUGCCGUUAACACUGUCAGGAUUUAUUAAAGACAUGCACUGAAAAAUAACCACUGAAAAAGACAUGGACUAGGGAUGCAUAACGAUUAAUCGCAAUUAAUCUAUAGCAUAAUAAAAGUUUUUGUUUACAUCA